rnacentral:rRNA from 1 species
CCGCGUGGAGGAUGACACUUUUCGGAGCGUAAACUCCUUUUGUUAGGGAAGAACAAUGACGGUACCUAACGAAUAAGCACCGGCUAACUCCGUGCCAGCAGCCGCGGUAAUACGGAGGGUGCAAGCGUUACUCGGAAUCACUGGGCGUAAAGGACGCGUAAGCGGAUUAUCAAGUCUCUUGUGAAAUCCUAUGGCUUAACCAUAGAACUGCUUGGGAAACUGAUAAUCUAGAGUGAGGGAGAGGCAGAUGGAAUUGGUGGUGUAGGGGUAAAAUCCGUAGAGAUCACCAGGAAUACCCAUUGCGAAGGCGAUCUGCUGGAACUCAACUGACGCUAAUGCGUGAAAGCGUGGGGAGCAAACA